rnacentral:rRNA from 1 species
UACGUAGGGUCCGAGCGUUGUCCGGAAUUACUGGGCGUAAAGAGCUCGUAGGUGGUUUGUCGCGUUGUUCGUGAAAACUCACAGCUCAACUGUGGGCGUGCGGGCGAUACGGGCAGACUUGAGUACUGCAGGGGAGACUGGAAUUCCUGGUGUAGCGGUGAAAUGCGCAGGAUAUCAGGAGGAACACCGGUGGCGAAGGCGGGUCUCUGGGC